rnacentral:lncRNA from 1 species
CUCGCGAUGGGUUGGUUGACACAGUCUGAUACACAGUCUGCUAGCUUGCGCUGUUGGCAACACAACCAGCGAGUCAGGGACUCGCUGGCCCGGCAUACCCCCGCUGGGCCUGUAGCGGCUCCCAUGCAGGACCGGGUUUGACACGCUGAGUCACACGCACUGAGUCACCCGACAGGCACCGGCAACAACCUACCGCUCAGCACAGCACACACAGCAGAGCCGCCCCCAGGGGGGGGGGGUAUGCAGCAGCGGCAAACCACAGACACGACAUCACACGACAGCUGACAUGCGCCACAGCCGAACUUGCACAACGCCGCUCCCGGGCGGAGAGAUCCCCCCCACGACUGAAGACAGGGGAGACAGCGAGACUGGCGAAGUCGGAAGCACAUACAGACGCACGGGACAGCAAACGCAUGACACCAGAAUGAUAUGCGAGUGAGUUCGUGCCACACGACAAACGAGAACAGACACCUAGCUAGUCUCACGUCACUGGGUUAGUCAAUCCUCAUUGCUGGCUUCGAGUCCAAGCCAGCUCCAAGCAGAUGUCCGUGGGUGCGCGCUGUUGGGAUGCCAGCGCGGCACACGCCGUUGGGAGGCCGGCGUGCGCGAGGUCCUGCCGUUGGGAUGCCGGCAGGGUUGGUGCAUCAGCGGCGAGGCUGAACACGGCGCUUGGCCGUGGGCUCGCCGCCCUGGGCAGGGGCUGAUGCAGGUGACGAUGGCACUGUUUGCCGUUGCAGGCAUUUUGCAUCGGCCAGGGUGAUAGCCUCGGCGGAGCCUCCCGGCCACUCCACCAUGAAGUAGAAGGGGCGUGACAAGGGCCCGCGGAAGCGCAGAGUGCCGUUCUGCAGCUGCCGCGGUGUUCCGGCUGGGCCAGGAACUGCCCGUACAACUGACACGCCGUCGAGGGUAGCUGCUUCCGCGUCGCGGCGUCGCGUGUCAGCGUUGGGGAACAGCACUGGACCCGCCGAGGGCCGCUGCGGUGCGGGGCCAGUGGGUGGAGCCUUGCCCAGCUCCACACAGCCCGGGCACAUCCAGGCGCCAGGAGGCACCUUGCUGAGUGGCGGCGUGAGGCAGCGGAGGUGCCAGCCGGUGCCGCAGCCGUCACACAGCAGCACGCGGGAGGGCUGCUGCGGGCUGUGGCACACUUCGCACUCCAGGUCGUUGCUGGUGCGUAGCAGCCGGGCGUCCUGAAUCGGGUCCAGGUUGGGCAGGUGGCACGGCACCAACUGCUCCACUCGCGCACGGAGACGUGCGGUGUCGCGGCCGACUAGCGCGGCCACGCCCAUGUCGCCCACAUGCUCCACGCGCAGCACCUGGUCGCGUACCGGCAUCUCCAACGUGUUGUCGGGAUUUGCGUUGCGCAGGUACACGUAGUCACCGGGCACAAACUCCAGUGCCCGCGCGCGGUAGCCGCCGCUGCGGGUGAGAGCAUAGCGCUGGGUGUCGCGGUGCUGUGCGAUGAGCAGGUUGCCGGCUGCGGCAGGCGCGUGCCGCCGCAGCCACUCCGAGCGCUGCAGGAGCGCCUCCGUGUAAGCUUGCUCACUGCCGUCGCAGGUGAAGGCUAGCUCGUGCUCCUCAAAGCGCGGGCGGACCGCAGGCGGGAUGAUGGGGUCCACGCCGUAGAGCAGCUUGUAGGGCGAGUAGCGGGUUGAGGCUUGAGGCGAGCAGCGGUAGGCCAGGGCGAGCCAAGGCAGCGCCUUGUCCCACGUGUCGUUGGACUGCGUGCUGCGGCAGUGCUUGCGCAGUGCCGCUUUCACAACCUGCACCAUGCGCUCCGCUAGGCCGUUGGCUUGCGGAUGGUCGGGCUGCGUGCGCCGGUGGUCGAUGGCGUUAGCCUCGCACAGCGCCUGGAACGGACCCUCAAACUCGGUGCCGCGGUCAGUGGUGACCUCUGCGGGCGAGCCGAAGCGCGUCAGGAGCUCCACCAGCCCUCGUGCGGUCUCGCUGGCGGACUUGGUGGUGAGCGGGAAAAGCUCGAUCCACUUGGUGAAGUGCUCCACGCACACCAUCACGUAGGUGUAGCCAUCGGGGGAAGUCGGGUGCAAGUUGCCCGCCAGGUCGAUGCCCCAGCGGUAGAACAUGCCGCGGAUUGGCAGCGGCUGCAGCUCAACAGGCCGCACCAUGCCGCCGGUGUUGGCCAUGUCGCACAGCUUGCAGCGCUGCACAAUGCCCUGCACCGUCGCCCGCUGGCCGGCCCACCAGUAGCCCAGCUGGCACAGCGCCAAGGUGCGGCGCUCGCCGAGGUGUCCGAUCUCGUGCGUUUGCUGGACGAUGGCGUCACGGGCCUCCGGCGGCGGGCAGACGCGUGUGUUGCCGUCGGGCAUGAGGCGGAUGAGCUGCUCUCCGGUCCAGCGGUAGCUGGCGGCGCGGCGCUGCACACGUUGCCGUUCCUCGCGGCUGAGGCUGUCAGGCUGGGCGCCCAGGCGCAGCAGGUCCAUGACGGGGGCGUCGUUCCAGACGUCUGCGGUGUCAGGGGUUGACGGGCCCAGGGCUGCGGAGGCGAUGGUGGUGCUGGGGCCGCCGACGCCGGCAGUGCGGCGUCAGCCCAGUCCGCUUGCUCCGCAGCUUCCGCCACUGCGGCGUAGACAUGCAGCUGCGCACCCAUGCGCGCCCCGAGGAGACGCUGGUGAAGCAGGGCAACCGCGAGAGUGGUCUCGGUCGCGUCCAGCAGUGGUGACGGCUCGUCUGACAGCACCAGCGCUGCAAAGGCGGUCUCCAGAUGGUCUGCUGGGCCCGAGGCGGCAGCUCCCCCCCCCAGCGUGGAGGCCGGGGCGUCGAUCUGACGAGGGGGAAGCGGCUGCAUGUCGUGACGCGUGAAGAAGAGGCGGUGGAGAGCCGUGGCGGCAGCCAAGGCGGCCGUGAAGACAGCCGGCGGCGUGUGGCGGCGGAGCAGCUGGACGGCGAAGGCGGCGGGCAAGGAGAGGGAGGAGUGGUGGGUGGAGACGGCGAGCCAGUCCGCCGCGUCCGGGGCGCAGGGCAGGCCAUCAGGGCCGGCACGCAGCGGUGGCGGCUCCGGGGCGGCAGGCGGCGGGGAAGGCGGGGGCAGCGCGGCGAGGGGUUGGCCGGGAGCCUGUAGCGCCACGUAAGGAGGAGGGAGGGGCCGUUGCGCAGCACCAGGCGUGCGGCCGUGCGGCAGCACGGCAGCAAGCAGGCGGCUGGGAAGAGGGCGCAGGUGAGAGAAGGCAAAGUCGACUUGGGAUGAGUCGGCCAGGUUGGUGUAGAGAGAGGUGACGCGAUGCGCGGGGCUGCCGGCCUGCACAGCGUCAAUGCCGGCGGGCGGCCCGAAGGGCGGCGAGGCGUCUGGUGACUCCGCACACCAGGGACCCUCCGCGAGGAAGGCGAGCUGGGGAAGGCGGCGGCUGGCUAGCUGCUGCUGCAGGCCGCCGAGGAGCUGGAGGGCGAGCGAGUCGCGCCAGAGCGCGUGCGAGGCCCAGCUGGUGACCACAAGCCAUUGGCUGCCGUCGUGCAACCGCAGCUGCUCCGCUCCCUCCGGCCCGAGUGCCCAGGGCACCAGGUCCGCCGGUGUGAGGCCGAGGCGGUCGGGGCCAGAGUGCAGCUGCCACGACUGCGGCGGCAGCAGCGGUGCAUGCUGCGUGGCGAGCAUGGGCAGCAGCCGGGCGACAGAGGCACGCACGGCGGGGUCGGUGUCGACGUGGACGUAGCGCCGGAUGCGGAAGCCCAUCCGCAAGGCGGCUUGCAGCCCUGAGGCCAGGCCGCCGGGCAGCUCCAGCAGCGUGAUGCCCACAUCCCCCAUGGCGGCUGCGAAGAAGUUGUGCUGCACCAGCCGCGUGUCCAGCCCCAGGACGUCGCCCGUGCCGGAGCGCAGGCGGAGGGGCAGUGGCGGGGACCGUGGCAGCUGCCGAAGCUGCACACGCGCGGCUUGGAUGACAGUGAGAAGUUGGAUGAGGAGUUGGUCAGGCGGGCGCUCAGCCGGCGGGGCUUCCGUGGCGUCAGUGGGGCCGCCGUUGUGGCCGGCAAACAGUUCGUUCGCGUCGGGCACGAUGGCGGUGGCGUUAACCGAGACCGCGGAGGGCAGCGCCUGCAGCUGUGCCCAGCGGGCCCGCGCGCUUGGGAUGAGCGCGCCGGCAGGGUAGACCAGGGCCGGGGCGGUGAUGGCAGCCGCGAGCACUUGCUGAGACGCUGGCCGGCCAUCGGCGCCGAUGGGCACGCCCUCCACAGGCGCCCCCCCAGCGUGAGGCUCCGGUGCCCCCCCCAGUGGCGGCUGUGGGUGUCCCCCCAGCUGCAGCUCCCGGCAGCCAGGCGGCGGCCGCCGGGUCCCCGUAGGCCAGGAGUAGCUUGGACUCCAUGACUGUGAGCUCGUCUGCGGUGUGCGGGCGCGGGCGCUCAUAGAUUGCACGGCCGUGGCGAAGCUCAAGGCCGACGUCGCCACUGUAGCCCACAAGAUCUGCUAACUUGUAGGCGAAGGUGCUCGUGCUGGCGUUCAUGAAGGCCAGAAUUGCGUCACGUUGGGAUGCCGUGACGUCUUGUCGGUCACAGUGGACCCACCCAUCAGGCUGCCGCUCGAACCGGCCGUCAGGCGGGAGCGAGCGAGGGCCCUCGGGUGUGAAGCUGCCCGGGGCAGAGGCGCCGGCUGGCGCCUCAUCUCCUGCUACUGCCGCUGCAGCUGCCGCUGCUGGUUGCGUGCUGCCCAAGGCACCCGAGGUGAAGGCGGUGGCGGUGGCCGCCAACAACCCAAGGAAUGCGUCACGUUGGGAGGCCGUGACGUCGGGACACUCGCAAUAGGCCCACCCAUCUCGAACCGGCCGUCAGGCGGGAGCGAGCGAGGGCCGUCGGGUGUGAAGCUGCCCGGGGCAGAGGCGCCGGCUGGCGCCUCAUCUCCUGCUACUGCCGCUGCAGCUGCCGCUGCUGGUUGCGUGCUGCCCGAGGCACCCGAGGUGAAGGCGGUGGCGGUGGCCGCCAACAACCCAAGGAAUGCGUCACGUUGGGAGGCCGUGACGUCGGGACACUCGCAAUAGGCCCGCCCAUCUGGCUGCCGCUCAAGGCGGGAGCCGGCGUGCGCGGAGCUGCCAGGCGCUGAUGCGCUAUCAGACGGGUUGACGCCUGCUGACGGCUGCGCGCCGUCUGGGGCGCUCAUGGCGAGCGGCCGCCGGCCACAGUGGCGGGCGGCGGCUUAGGUGGGGAAACGCUGGUGGCGGCGGCGUUGGCUGAGCUGCUGCUGUGCACGCGGCCCAGCGGUCCCCCCCCAGCAGCGAAGGCGGGGCCGCCCCGCAGCGAGAGGUGGUGAUACAGGAGGCAGGAGCAGAAGCAGGAGGGGCAGGCGAAGAAGUGGCGAGGAGCGGCAGGACCUCUGAAUUGGCCGGCCGCAUCUCGAAUUGCUCAAAGCCGAGCGGCAGGCGCGAGCCGGCCGCGGGACCGGUGGCCUGUGUGGCUUGAGGUGUGCCGCCAGCGGGGGCGGCACGGGAGGAGGCGUCGCCGGCUGCGGCGCCAGCCGCGGGGAGUGCGGCGGCAGCGCCGAUGGCGGAGGCGGCGACGCCGGCGCUGCUCUGGGAUGCAGCAGCGCCCAUGGUGCUGCUUGAGGCAGGACCAGGUGAAGGGGUGAAGACGUAUGCAGCAUCUUGAGGGAUGGAGGCGAAGCCACACGAGGGUGCGGCGGUGAGAAUGGCGCUCUGGGAUGCAGCGCCGAGGAAGUCAGAAGAUGCAGAUGCACCGUUGGCGGCGGCGCAGGGUGCAGCAGCGGGCGCAGUGGAGUCGCCAGGGCUGCUGUGGCCCGCGAGGAUGGGGAAGGCGUAGGCGUAAGGCGCGUACAUGGAGACGGCAGAGCUGACCGGGUCGACGGCGGCGGCGUCACUGCUGGGCGCGGCGCUGGCGGCGGCGGCGGGCGCGGGAGCGCUGGCGGCUGCAGGCAGGGAGCUGCUGGAGGAGGCAGCUGGCGCUGACAGUGCUGCUGAGGCGAGCGUGAGGGCGCCAAUGGCCGCGUGCGCGGACUCAGGUGCAGCGUCGCCAGCGCUGUCGGAGCCGAGGGCCUCAGCUGGCGGGCGAAUCCGCAUGGCCAGAGUAACCAUCCUGCGGUAGAGUUGCGAUGACCUGGUCUGCCAUCUGCAAUAUGUCCCGAGAGCCUGCCAAUAAGGUGCGCCGAGUGUAGCAAGCUUCGCGGUCGUCAGCCGGCGAAGUGAAAAUGGGCGCCGCGCCCGACUCGACGGAGCCGUGGCUAUAUCCGGCGAGACCACUGAUGCAUCUGACAUGCUUCGUAGAUGUAGAUAAGCGAGAGGAAGGGAUGAAUGAGCAAAGCCUUGUUGUCCAGUGAGAAGUAGCCGCGGAGAAGAAGGGCGAGAGCGCAGUGGGAUGCAGCGCCGAGUUCGCCAAUAGCAACUGUGGGUUGUGUUGCAUGUACCGGAUACGGUCCUAGAGUGUAGGGACCCCGUAUGGCCACCAAUGUCCCAAUGCCCGGCCGCGUACCAGGGUGAUCAGGUCUGGACGCUGACGCGGGGACAACCAAUGAUGAGCGAUUCAGCCACGGAGGCUGGCUGCUGCUGCUGGCGCGAGGCAGGCUGACGCAGUCUAACGUAGUGGGAUGCUAACGUUUGGGAAGCGAAGGAACGGACAAGGCUAAUGCUCGCGAUGGGUUGGUUGACACAGUCUGAUACACAGUCUGCUAGCUUGCGCUGUUGGCAACACAACCAGCGAGUCAGGGACUCGCUGGCCCGGCAUACCCCCGCUGGGCCUGUAGCGGCUCCCAUGCAGGACCGGGUUUGACACGCUGAGUCACACGCACUGAGUCACCCGACAGGCACCGGCAACAACCUACCGCUCAGCACAGCACACACAGCAGAGCCGCCCCCAGGGGGGGGGGUAUGCAGCAGCGGCAAACCACAGACACGACAUCACACGACAAAACGUAUUGUGCUGUGGAGCUGCGGAAUUGUCACUUCUUGUUCCUAUCUGUGAGAGAAUGCUAAGCGGCUAGCUAAGACGGCUGAUGCAUGAAUAAUCGGAACAAGAGCGGAAUGUC